UGAUGCACUUGUUCAGUCCUCAGUG
rnacentral:piRNA from 1 species